UACUAAAAACUAAUACAAAAU
ensembl:piRNA 21ur-13575 ncRNA